rnacentral:rRNA from 1 species
GACGAGCGCUGGCGGCGUGCUUAACACAUGCAAGUCGAACGGAAAGGCCCUGCUUUUGUGGGGUGCUCGAGUGGCGAACGGGUGAGUAACACGUGAGUAACCAGCCCUUGACUUUGGGAUAACUUCAGGAAACUGGGGCUAAUACCGGAUAGGAGCUCCUGCUGCAUGGUGGGGGUUGGAAAGUUUCGGCGGUUGGGGAUGGACUCGCGGCUUAUCAGCUUGUUGGUGGGGUAGUGGCUUACCAAGGCUUUGACGGGUAGCCGGCCUGAGAGGGUGACCGGCCACAUUGGGACUGAGAUACGGCCCAGACUCCUACGGGAGGCAGCAGUGGGGAAUAUUGCACAAUGGGCGGAAGCCUGAUGCAGCAACGCCGCGUGCGGGAUGACGGCCUUCGGGUUGUAAACCGCUUUCGCCUGUGACGAAGCGUGAGUGACGGUAAUGGGUAAAGAAGCACCGGCUAACUACGUG